ACAGCCCCUGGUAUGUUACUCUUGCUCCAACUCCCCCUCUGGAACACCCUAAGCAGAAAGAAACUCCUUUGCUGCCCUGGUGUUUAUAGUAGCAACAGAAAAGUGGCUUAUGUAAGUUUCCAGAGAACAUACGAGGAACUGAUCCAACAGGACCUUGGAAGGCCUGGUGCUGUUUCUCUCAAUGGCAGCUGACUUGGCAGAAGGUACACGGGAAUUUACUUCUCUGUUCCAAGCGUCGACACCACCUGUGACAUUCCUAAGAUUUCUUUUUGUAAAAAUUAAAUCUCCUGCUCUGGCUUGGAACAUUUCUACUCGUAAUGGCUACAUAUGGACACUGAGCUGAGUAGUGUUCCAUUGUAUAUAUGUGCAUCGAUUCAUCCAUGGAAGAACAUUCAGGUUUGCCUCUCCCAGGCAGGAACCCCCUUAUUGGUUAUCCAAUACAAGUCAUCAGCCUUGAUACCAUUUACAAAACAAACUCGGCAGACUGUAUUAAUCUAUUUAUGUAUGUAUGUAUGUAUAUCAAAGAGAAAAGCUAUCAACUUGAGGGCGGUGCCAUGGGAGGGGUUGGAGGGAGCAAAGGAGGGGGAAAACCGGUGUGAUUCUGUUUCAAUUAAAAUAUAUUUUUUAAAAACUUAAAAAACAAAACGCAUAAGGAGCUGUUUCCUUAGUACAAACCCACAGAGCAGUGCACUGGGUGGGAAGACUCUUGGUGCUUUAUCAACUUCAGGUGCCCGUACCCAGAUGCCCCCAGCCUCAGAAAGGCUCUGUGCUGCCAUCUUCGGGAAUGGAAUCUCUCUCUGAACCAUCUCAGGUCCUCCUUGGCUGGUAUCCAAUGGAGGAAAACUCAAUAAUACUAGUGAUAACAUUCACCCCAAAUCAGCCUUAAGAGGUCUGGCUUCCCCCAAAUGCCCCCCUAAUCUCUACCUGAAUAAUGGCUCUGGUCCCAGAACUGCUGUUAUCAAUCUCCCUCCCAGCUGUGGUUCACCAUUUUUGCCCCAGAACGAUGAAACUUGUAGUAACAAGAGCUCAACAAAGAAUCACGUUAAAACAUCUGUUUUCUUUACAAGAUCCACAUAAGUAAAUUCCUCACAGUUAUGGUCUUCAUGUGUGUCAUAUUAAUGACCCCCUAAAAUGAAGAAUGGAGAGAGAGACUGAUCUUGUUCAACCCCUUUUAAAUAUAGAAAAUUGGAGCUAGGGACUCUGUAACAGUGGGAGAAAAUCCACCAAGCUAAAUGUCACCCCUUAUCUAAAUAUACAUCUGCACAUCUGUAAGAAAAUUUUCCUUCGCACAGACAUCCCCUGACAGUAGAGUGUGAAGGUACCAAGAAGUCUUAUUGCUACGCUGCUUGUCUGGAGCACAGUGAAUGUUAACCUUUGAAAUUUUUCCAUGGGCUGGG
rnacentral:lncRNA from 1 species